rnacentral:hammerhead_ribozyme from 1 species
AUCCAGCUGAUGAGUCCCAACAAGGACGAAACGCGCGUCAAAGUGGAU